AGAAUCAACGCUGGCGGCGUGCCUAACACAUGCAAGUCGAACGAGAAAGUGGAGCAAUCCAUGAGUAAAGUGGCGCACGGGUGAGUAACACGUGACUAACCUACCUUUUAGUGGGGGAUAACCUAGGGAAACCUGGGCUAAUACCGCAUAACACUUACGAGUCAAAGCAGCAAUGCGCUGAAAGAGGGGGUCGCGGCCGAUUAGCUAGUUGGCGGGGUAAUGGCCCACCAAGGCAGUGAUCGGUAUCCGGCCUGAGAGGGCGCACGGACACACUGGAACUGAAACACGGUCCAGACUCCUACGGGAGGCAGCAGUGGGGAAUUUUGCGCAAUGGGGGAAACCCUGACGCAGCAACGCCGCGUGGAGGAUGAAGUCCCUUGGGACGUAAACUCCUUUCGAUCGGGACGAUAAUGACGGUACCGGAAGAAGAAGCCCGGCUAACUCGUGCCAGCAGCCGC
rnacentral:rRNA from 1 species